rnacentral:rRNA from 1 species
AACGAACGCUGGCGGCAGGCCUAACACAUGCAAGUCGAGCGCUCCCUUCGGUGUGAGCGGCGUACGGGUGAGUAACUCGUGGGAACGUGCCCUUUUCUACGGAAUAGCCUCGGGAAACUGAGAGUAAUACCGUAUACGCCCUUUUGGGGCAAGAUUUAUCGGAAAAGGAUCGGCCCGCGUUUGAUUAGGUAGUUGUUGGGGUAAUGGCCUACCAAGCCGCCUAUCCAUAGCUGGUUUGGGAGGAUGAUCAGCCACACUGGGACUGAGACACGGCCCAGACUCCUACGGGAGGAAGCAGUGGGGAAUCUUAGACAAUGGGGGCAAGCCUGAUCGAGCCAUGCCGCGUGAGUGAUGAAGGCGUUAGGGCUGUAAAGCUCUUUCAGCUGUGAAGAUAAUGACGGUACCAGCAGAAGAAGCCCCGGCUAACUCCGUG